rnacentral:rRNA from 1 species
UAACGCGUGAGGAACCUGCCUCAAAGAAGGGGGACAACAGUUGGAAACGACUGCUAAUACCGCAUAAGCCCACGGCUCGGCAUCGAGCAGAGGGAAAAGGAGCAAUCCGCUUUGAGAUGGCCUCGCGUCCGAUUAGCUAGUUGGUGAGGCAAUGGCCCACCAAGGCGACGAUCGGUAGCCGGACUGAGAGGUUGAACGGCCACAUUGGGACUGAGACACGGCCCAG